UCGGCACACCUGCUCCUAAGGCAGCAGCAGAUGCAUUCCUACGUGGUUCCAGUGUGCAUCGGAGUACCGAAAAAGAGCAGUGGCAGGCACUUAAGUGAUCACAGGUGCUGGCUUUCUUCUAAUCCUUCUGGGUUAACCACUUUCCCUGCUAUUCUACCUUUGCGCCCUUGUUUCACUCUCCCGGGUUCUUGGCUUGUUUUAAGUUGCCUGCGAUCAUUUAACAGAACUCAGGCAGCUAAAGCAAGUCUGGAAACCAGGAGCAAGCACGACCCUGGCAACAAUCUUUGGAAGUACUUGGGAAGAAGAAUGGCAUUCAUUUAAGUCAUAUAUGGUGACACAGUCCAAUUCUGAGUUACAGAAAUGGACUAUGAAGAUAGGAAGAAAUGCCUGAAAAUGUUUCACAGAAAGAAAUGGUAUGCAUGGAUGACGGGAGCAAGGUAGUCAUAAAACCCGACCGCACAGUAUUAUUUGUGCAAACAGAGUUUUUUCAAAUGUGCAGUGAUUGAAGUCCAUAGCGUGAUAUUGACUGGGCUAAUAUUUAAAGCAAAUAGCAAGGAUGUUCAACAGAUGUGUAAGUGCAGAUGCCUUUUUUUUAUGCAGGAACAAUUUUUAUCAAGGGCUUGAAUUGUUAGUUUUGCAAUAUAUACUUAGUUUGCACUUUAACAGUUUUCUUUGUUUGUUACUGGCUUAAUAUGCAAUGUAGUUCUUUAAGUCUGUUCUGGAAUGUUUAUCAGAUUAUGUAAUAGUAUACAGAAUACAGAUUUAAGAUUUCUGAUUUCAGUGACUGAAAUGUUAAAAUCAAAUACAGGACUGGUAUGAUUUAGAAUACUGCAAUGAGUGUAGUAGAUUGUUAACAAUCACUGGUGCAGACCUUGAACUAGUCCGUAACUUUGCAGUCUUCUGUAGGAUAUAGGUUCCAGGAUUAUAAAGGCAAAUGUAUGUUACACAAUGAAAGUACUUUAAAAAUGAAAUGUGAUUUUUGUUUUUCAUUUUCUUCUCAUGCAAAUGAAGUACUGUUUUGACUCUGCUUUUGCUAAGCUAUGGCUCCAGUGUUUAAUCCUUGAUAAACUACUUAAUCUUGUUCCUA